GGGUUGUGAGGUUAAGCGACUAAGCGUACACGGUGGAUGCCCUGGCAGUCAGAGGCGAUGAAGGACGUGCUAAUCUGCGAUAAGCGUCGGUAAGGUGAUAUGAACCGUUAUAACCGGCGAUUUCCGAAUGGGGAAACCCAGUGUGUUUCGACACACUAUCAUUAACUGAAUCCAUAGGUUAAUGAGGCGAACCGGGGGAACUGAAACAUCUAAGUACCCCGAGGAAAAGAAAUCAACCGAGAUUCCCCCAGUAGCGGCGAGCGAACGGGGAGCAGCCCAGAGCCUGAAUCAGUGUGUGUGUUAGUGGAAGCGUCUGGAAAGGCGCGCGAUACAGGGUGACAGCCCCGUACACAAAAAUGCACAUGCUGUGAGCUCGAUGAGUAGGGCGGGACACGUGGUAUCCUGUCUGAAUAUGGGGGGACCAUCCUCCAAGGCUAAAUACUCCUGACUGACCGAUAGUGAACCAGUACCGUGAGGGAAAGGCGAAAAGAACCCCGGCGAGGGGAGUGAAAAAGAACCUGAAACCGUGUACGUACAAGCAGUGGGAGCCUCUCUUUAUGGGGGGUGACUGCGUACCUUUUGUAUAAUGGGUCAGCGACUUAUAUUCUGUAGCAAGGUUAACCGAAUAGGGGAGCCGAAGGGAAACCGAGUCUUAACUGGGCGUUAAGUUGCAGGGUAUAGACCCGAAACCCGGUGAUCUAGCCAUGGGCAGGUUGAAGGUUGGGUAACACUAACUGGAGGACCGAACCGACUAAUGUUGAAAAAUUAGCGGAUGACUUGUGGCUGGGGGUGAAAGGCCAAUCAAACCGGGAGAUAGCUGGUUCUCCCCGAAAGCUAUUUAGGUAGCGCCUCGUGAAUUCAUCUCCGGGGGUAGAGCACUGUUUCGGCAAGGGGGUCAUCCCGACUUACCAACCCGAUGCAAACUGCGAAUACCGGAGAAUGUUAUCACGGGAGACACACGGCGGGUGCUAACGUCCGUCGUGAAGAGGGAAACAACCCAGACCGCCAGCUAAGGUCCCAAAGUCAUGGUUAAGUGGGAAACGAUGUGGGAAGGCCCAGACAGCCAGGAUGUUGGCUUAGAAGCAGCCAUCAUUUAAAGAAAGCGUAAUAGCUCACUGGUCGAGUCGGCCUGCGCGGAAGAUGUAACGGGGCUAAACCAUGCACCGAAGCUGCGGCAGCGACGCUUAUGCGUUGUUGGGUAGGGGAGCGUUCUGUAAGCCUGCGAAGGUGUGCUGUGAGGCAUGCUGGAGGUAUCAGAAGUGCGAAUGCUGACAUAAGUAACGAUAAAGCGGGUGAAAAGCCCGCUCGCCGGAAGACCAAGGGUUCCUGUCCAACGUUAAUCGGGGCAGGGUGAGUCGACCCCUAAGGCGAGGCCGAAAGGCGUAGUCGAUGGGAAACAGGUUAAUAUUCCUGUACUUGGUGUUACUGCGAAGGGGGGACGGAGAAGGCUAUGUUGGCCGGGCGACGGUUGUCCCGGUUUAAGCGUGUAGGCUGGUUUUCCAGGCAAAUCCGGAAAAUCAAGGCUGAGGCGUGAUGACGAGGCACUACGGUGCUGAAGCAACAAAUGCCCUGCUUCCAGGAAAAGCCUCUAAGCAUCAGGUAACAUCAAAUCGUACCCCAAACCGACACAGGUGGUCAGGUAGAGAAUACCAAGGCGCUUGAGAGAACUCGGGUGAAGGAACUAGGCAAAAUGGUGCCGUAACUUCGGGAGAAGGCACGCUGAUAUGUAGGUGAAGUCCCUCGCGGAUGGAGCUGAAAUCAGUCGAAGAUACCAGCUGGCUGCAACUGUUUAUUAAAAACACAGCACUGUGCAAACACGAAAGUGGACGUAUACGGUGUGACGCCUGCCCGGUGCCGGAAGGUUAAUUGAUGGGGUUAGCGCAAGCGAAGCUCUUGAUCGAAGCCCCGGUAAACGGCGGCCGUAACUAUAACGGUCCUAAGGUAGCGAAAUUCCUUGUCGGGUAAGUUCCGACCUGCACGAAUGGCGUAAUGAUGGCCAGGCUGUCUCCACCCGAGACUCAGUGAAAUUGAACUCGCUGUGAAGAUGCAGUGUACCCGCGGCAAGACGGAAAGACCCCGUGAACCUUUACUAUAGCUUGACACUGAACAUUGAGCCUUGAUGUGUAGGAUAGGUGGGAGGCUUUGAAGUGUGGACGCCAGUCUGCAUGGAGCCGACCUUGAAAUACCACCCUUUAAUGUUUGAUGUUCUAACGUGGACCCGUGAUCCGGGUUGCGGACAGUGUCUGGUGGGUAGUUUGACUGGGGCGGUCUCCUCCUAAAGAGUAACGGAGGAGCACGAAGGUUGGCUAAUCCUGGUCGGACAUCAGGAGGUUAGUGCAAUGGCAUAAGCCAGCUUGACUGCGAGCGUGACGGCGCGAGCAGGUGCGAAAGCAGGUCAUAGUGAUCCGGUGGUUCUGAAUGGAAGGGCCAUCGCUCAACGGAUAAAAGGUACUCCGGGGAUAACAGGCUGAUACCGCCCAAGAGUUCAUAUCGACGGCGGUGUUUGGCACCUCGAUGUCGGCUCAUCACAUCCUGGGGCUGAAGUAGGUCCCAAGGGUAUGGCUGUUCGCCAUUUAAAGUGGUACGCGAGCUGGGUUUAGAACGUCGUGAGACAGUUCGGUCCCUAUCUGCCGUGGGCGCUGGAGAACUGAGGGGGGCUGCUCCUAGUACGAGAGGACCGGAGUGGACGCAUCACUGGUGUUCGGGUUGUCAUGCCAAUGGCACUGCCCGGUAGCUAAAUGCGGAAGAGAUAAGUGCUGAAAGCAUCUAAGCACGAAACUUGCCCCGAGAUGAGUUCUCCCUGACUCCUUGAGAGUCCUGAAGGAACGUUGAAGACGACGACGUUGAUAGGCCGGGUGUGUAAGCGCAGCGAUGCGUUGAGCUAACCGGUACUAAUGAACCGUGAGGCUUAACCUUACAACGCCGAAG
rnacentral:rRNA from 1 species